GUCACUCCGCAAGUUUAAAUGCGACCAAAGUUGCCUGAGCUUUGCUGAGGGAGCGGAGGCGAAGGGGCAAAACACCUGAUUUUAUGUUUUUUGUUAAAUUCUGUCUGCGGGGAGGGGGGGUGGAGCUGUGUUGGUGGCCUGUGGUUCUGCAGAGCCACGUUUCUAAGUGCAUUUUCUAGCAAAAACUACCUUGAAAAAGGAUUGUAGCAGCCGGUGGUGAGCUCCCAGGAGCCCUGCCUGAAGCCUGCCUUACGCCGGCCUCUCCUCUCCUGACACAGGUUUUUUAAAUUUUAAAACCCCAAAUAUCCAGAUUCAGAGACCCACAGAUCAAUUUGCCUGCUUUUUAAGAGGAGAUGAAAAAUAGCGGGAUCUUCAGCCUUGAUUCUGCUUCUCUGCGUUUUCGUCUCUAAUUAAAAAUCAGUGUUAGUAUUAAAAAAACAAACCCUGUCAAAAGAAUGAAAGGCUGCAAGUUUGUACCUCCCGAGCUUGGUGCUGAGCUGGAGGCACCGCUCCCUCGCUCCAAGCCCCAGUUACAGUUUGUGCAGGGAGUCAGAAUUUUUUAAAUUGAUUUUUAAAGGGGGUUAAAAAAAAAAAAAAAAAAGCCAAAUUCUAUCCGGAUUGCGGUUACAUGGAUAAAAUUGGAGGGCCUUUCCACCAAGUAAGUGAUUUUAUAGAUAUACAGAAUAAAAAAAGUCUUUCUCUGUGUGUGUGCGCGUAUAUAUACAUAUUAAAAAAAACCCAUUUUAGUAGUAUAUUUAUACAAACAGUGUGUAUUAACAGCAAACUUUGAAGGGAUUGGAAAUAAUACCAACUUCAGCCUUUCCCUGUAGCUGGUGGUUCAGGGGCUGAAGUUACAAUUUGCCAUAACCGUGCGUUUCUGGAAUGGUAUUUACAGAAUUUAGUAACCACUUGUAAUUUACUGUCUUAACGUUGCCUAUUUGUCAUUUCUAUAUUAAAUUAUAUACACACGACUGAGAUAUAUUGAGAAAUCACAGAUUUGUUUAACCAGCCUCCUUAGCGAGCGGCUCGAAAAUCGACAGACGGAAAAUUGUACUGCUUGUUACUGUUUUUAUAAUUGGAGUAUUUUUCUAGCGACAAUUUAAAAAAAAAAACCAAUAAUGUAGAUCCACACUAA